CACGUAGGGCGCAAGCGUUGUCCGGAAUUAUUGGGCGUAAAGAGCUCGUAGGCGGUCUGUUGCGUCCGCUGUGAAAACUCGGGCUUAACCCCGAGCCUGCAGUGGAUACGGGCAGACUAGAGGUAGGUAGGGGAGAAUGGAAUUCCCGGUGUAGCGGUGAAAUGCGCAGAUAUCGGGAGGAACACCGGUGGCGAAGGCGGUUCUCUGGGCCUUAC
rnacentral:rRNA from 1 species